rnacentral:lncRNA from 1 species
UUUCCUUUUUUCAUGGUAUCGUACACCCCCACCGAUCGUUGGGUUUGCUGGAAAAUCUACAAAAAGCAAGAAUCCUAUUUUUCCCCUGUUUGACCAAAAAUUGUUCUCCCUUUUUCGACCACAGGCACCAUCAUUUGCAGUGCCUCACCACUAGGUCUGAAACCCCACCUUCUUGCCUAUCUUCUCUAAAGGUCAUGGCCACUGAUGUGCAGCCAAUGACUGAAGAAAAUUCAAAGAAAAGGAUGGUCCUUUGUUUUUCCAAAGUUUUAUGAUUUUCUUUUAUG